rnacentral:tRNA from 1 species
GCCUUGCUAGCUAAGUCUGUAGAGCAUGAGACUCUUAAUCUCAGGGUCAUGGGUUCAUACCCCAUGCAGCUGGCA